UGAGUACGAGAUGCUACGGCAUCGAAGCAGUCUAUGUCAUACUUCCAAGAAAAGCUUGCACUGUCAUAAACAAAGAAUGCCUGUACCAUAACCGACACAGGUGGGUAGGUAGAGUAUACUAAGGGGCGCGAGAUAACUCUCUCUAAGGAACUCGGCAAAAUGACUCCGUAACUUCGGGAGAAGGAGUGCCUUAUUUCUAAGGUUGCAAUAACAAGAUCCAAGCAACUGUUUACCAAAAACACAGGUCUCCGCUAAGUCGUAAGACGAUGUAUGGGGGCUGACGCCUGCCCAGUGCCAGAAGGUUAAAGAAGUUGGUUAGCAUUAGCGAAGCUGAUAACUGAAGCCCUGGUGAACGGCGGCCGUAACUAUAACGGUCCUAAGGUAGCGAAAUUCCUUGUCGGGUAAGUUCCGACCCGCACGAAAGGCGUAAUGAUUUGGAUACUGUCUCGGAGAGGGGCUCGGUGAAAUAGACUUGUCUGUGAAGAUGCGGACUACCUGCACCUGGACAGAAAGACCCUAUGAAGCUUUACUGUAACUUGAGAUUGAAAUUGGACUUUAUUUGCGCAGUAUAGGUGGGAGGCGUUGAGAAUAAUCUUGCGGGAUUGUUGGAGCCAUCAGUGAGAUACCACUCUUGUAAUGUUAGAUUUCUAACUUUGUAUCAUUAUCUGGUCAAAGAACAGUUUCAGGCGGGCAGUUUGACUGGGGCGGUCGCCUCCCAAAGGGUAACGGAGGCGCACAAAGGUUUCCUCUGAACGGGUAGAAAUCGUAUCUAGAGUGUAAAGGCAUAAGGAAGCUUGACUGUGAGACCUACAAGUCGAGCAGGGACGAAAGUCGGUCUUAGUGAUCUGACGGUGCUGAGUGGAAAGGCCGUCACUCAACGGAUAAAAGUUACUCUAGGAUAACAGGCUGAUCUCCCCCAAGAGUUCACAUCGACGGGGAGGUUUGGCACCUCGAUGUCGGCUCAUCGCAUCCUGGGGCGGUAGUCCGUCCCAAGGGUUGGGCUGUUCGCCCAUGAAAGCGGUACGCGAGCUGGGUUCAGAACGUCGUGAGACAGUUCGGUCCAUAUCCGGUGUAGGCGUUAGAAUAUUGAGAGGAGCCUUCUCUAGUACGAGAGGACCGAGAAGGACAUACCUCUGGUGUACCAGUUAUCGUGCCAACGGUAAACGCUGGGUAGCUAUGUAUGGAGUGGAUAACCGCUGAAAGCAUCUAAGUGGGAAGCCCACCUCAAGAUAAG
rnacentral:rRNA from 1 species